GUCUCUGCCGGCGCCAUUGUGAUUGAGUGCACAGCAGAUUGGAGGUUCUGUAUCUCUGGUUUUACAGUCCCAAGAGUGCUAAUCUACAUAUCAUCUAAACGCCAGAAGAUGGAUAGAGAAAAUCAGCUCUAGCAUCUGGUUCAGUCACUGAAGAGGAGGAGAGCCCUGACUAAGGAGGAGAUUGAGGGCAUGUACACCAUGGAGGCUGACCUCCUCGAUGAAGAGCUGCUGCAGGAGGAUGAGGAGGAGGAGAGUGAUCUGGAGGAGCCCCAGCCCAGCACUUCAACUGCAGGGUGCACUACUGUCUUCACUGGGAAAGUUGAUACUGCACCAGUUCUCUGGAAUUUCAUCUCUAAAUGUAUUAAAGAAAAUGGUUGGAUUCUCACUUAUUUUGCGACUGGUUUUAUAACUAAUAAAUAAAAUGGCAGUUUGUCAUGGAAUUUUGAUGAUGGUAUUUAUAAUGUUGUGCGUA